rnacentral:rRNA from 1 species
CAGCAGCCGCGGGAAUACGAAGGGUGCAAGCGUUACUCGGAAUUACUGGGCGUAAAGCGUGCGUAGGUGGUGGUUUAAGUCCGUUGUGAAAGCCCUGGGCUCAGCCUGGGAAUUGCAGUGGAUACUGGAUCACUAGAGUGUGGUAGAGGAUAGUGGAAUUUCCGGUGUAGCAGUGAAAUGCGUAGAGAUCGGAAGGAACAUCUGUGGCGAAGGCGACUAUCUGGGCCAACACUGACACUGAGGCACGAAAGCGUGGGGAGCAAACAGGAUUAGAUACCCCUGUAGUCCCUGUCUCUUAUAC